rnacentral:lncRNA from 1 species
UGGUGUUUUGUCUUUUGUUUUUCUUCCUGGAGGCGGUGCAGAUCCUGAAUGGAGUGGUGAUUCUGGCUUUGGGCAUUUUCCUGGGAUCCUCAGAGUUCCUGACCCACUUCUUCAGGCACUUCUUUUUUUUCACGUUCUACACAGGGUAUCCACUAUGGGGCAGUGUGUUUGUGAGUAUCCCUUUCCCCCUGGCAUUUAUUGAUCAUUUCUUAGAUGCAACAGCUAGAAGCAUGAGCUCCAUCAAGUUCAUAGUCUAUAUUUUGAAUUAAGAGGCUGGUUAUGUUUGGUUAUGAAAGUGUUGUUUGUAGGUCAUUUGAAGGCUACAUACUGUGGCUUUAAAUUAUAGUUUUUGACAUAAGCAAGGUGAAAAGAAGUCCCUUUCUUUCUGAUUCAAGAAAUCAUAUUUGCUAAGCACAUUUAAGUCCCAAACAGGAACUUAGUAUCUAGAGGUUAAAUUUAUGGAUACUAACAGAAUCCAAUGAAAAAUGAGUACUGGUGAAUGAAUAUUGCCCUGUGGUUCAGCUGGGAGUCCAGGCUUGGGAGAUGAGAAAUUUUUCUGUGGAUCACUGUUGGAAAACCAGAAGAGCCAUUUUCCUUAUCUGGGUCAAAAUGUAUUCAGAAAAACAAACAAACAAACAAACAAACAAACAAAAACCCCAUCCAUAGAUGGUUCCUACAUGUUCAGUCAGAAUCCACAGAUGGGGGCCUAGGUGAUCUUUUGGAUUUACUCGUUCAUCUUUGUUAUUUUAUUAUUGUUUGCCUGAGAUUCAUUUUUUAAAGUGGCUAAUAGAAACUCUUAAUCAGCCAUUGCUACUACUUACUAUUACUAAUAUCAUUAUUAUUUGCUUGUUUAUCCCUAGUGCUAGAUCUUUGACAAGUUACCUAUGUCCAGUUCUGAACUGAACUUAAAAAAUAAAGCAGCUAUUGUAAAAUGUAAGAUGGAGAUAUGUAAUUGAAAGUUGUGAAUAGGACAGUUAUUGGCAAAUGAAGGGAAAAAACUUCUAAAAAUGAAUAUUUCAUUCCUUUUCUUUCUCCCCAAAUCUCCAAACUUUAGCUCUCCUUUAAAAUGAAAUUGCUAAAAACAACAACAACCACAGAAAAAGAAGAUUGCUCUUAAUCUGGCUAUUUCUUGAUCAAAAUCAGAGUUCAUAUUCUGAGAAAAUAUUAUAUACUGUUUCUGGGUACAGUCCAAAACAUGUAAUUUGGGUUUAGCAUUCCAGAAAUUUUUAGAUAAUAUUAUUUUGAUGCUAGUUAAGCUCUGAAUUUUUCUAAAUAUAUUUUGCAUAAUAAAUCCUGACUACCUAAAUGGUGGAUUUCCAUACUGUACUGUAGAAAAGAGAAUACUGAUUGCAGUGUUUCAGUGAGGAUAGUGUUUUUUUUUUUUCCCUCAUUUUAACAUCAUCAACACUAAGACUCAAAACUGACAAUUGCUGGAAGCUUCUCUCUGGUCCAUACCACUGCAGAGCACAGUCUAAGGUCUAUGAUGUGCCCUCUGUGCCUGCUCUUACCUAUAGCCACAGCCUGGUCCUCACCCCAAUGUGUCCAUGCCCUGUCAUGUACUGACCACAUGAUCCUUUCUAUUUGCUCAUCUCUCUCUGGCUCAUCCUGAUGAACAGUGUGAUAUCAGAAAAGACAUGAGCUCUUGCCCUUCAGUUUCCUCACCAGGAUGGUAAAAAUAGCAUGAGGACCCUCUCUGGAUCUCUGGAAUUAAAUGCAAAAAUGUAUAUAAAAACUUUAGAUAUCAUUGACAAUUUGGAUGUUUUCUGUGUGCUGGGCAAAUACUUAAGUCCUUUUUAUGUAUCAUUUUAUUUUAUCUCCACACUGCUAUCAGGUAGGUGAUCUCAACAACAGGGAUGCACAUAUCUCCAUUUUGCAGAAGAAGAAACAGGUGGGGAGUGAUUUGGCAGGGAUUUGAUCAAGGUGACAGGACAAGUAUAAGAGAGAGCAGGGAUGGGGACACAGAGCAUAUGCUCUUACAGAGGGGCUGAGGAGGGUCCUGUGAUAACUUCUGCUUCUUUAACUGAAGCAGAAUCCAUAGAUGUUUCCUGCACAUUCAGUCAGAAUCCAAUAGCUGAAUUUUUAUGUAGCAAGAUUUCUCUUCAUGUUUUCGGCAACUUUUCUCGCAAUCCAUAGGAAUGAUUUGGUGAAGGGUGGUGAGAUUGAGGAGUUAAAAACAAUAAAAGUUAGGAAAAUCAUAACUAUUGUGAGAAUUCAGUGUAUCGAAAUUAGUAUCACAGAAAUAGGAUUAUUAUUAAAGAUUUAAAAACUAUAGGGUACAUAGAUAAAGACAUUUAGAUUUAUAAAAUAUCUCUUGGAAUAUCUAGUCCAAUAAUUCAGACACUUAUCUGCAGCCUGAGUAGAAAUAUGAGAAAUCAUAUUCUAAAUGCAUGCAUAUAUAAUUUCAUAUACUUCAUAUAAACAUAACUAUAAUUCUAUUGAAUUAACUAAAUGUAUAUAUGUUUUUAAAGUGUCUAUAAUCACAAAAACUUGUUCAAAGCCAGACAUAAAACAAAAUGAAAAGAGGAUAAGCUUGCUUAAAAUACAAACUACUUUAAAAUUUUAGUUGUAUAAAAUAAUGAGCAACAUCAAGUAUAGUUUUGGUUCUAGCAUAUGCGUUUAGAAAUGAGGUUUGUGUAACUAACGCUAGGCGUCCACUAAUUCAGAGAGGGCCGAGAAGCACAUGGUUGAGACUUAAUAUUCUCUAUCUCCUUUACUUCCCAUUUUCAGUUUAUUAGUUCAGGAUCCUUGACUGUUGUAGCAGGGAGAAAAUCCACAAGAAUGCUGGUAAGUGGCAGUUCUUCUUUCUCUAUGAAUACAGGACUGAAAAUAAAUGAUCUACAAACAAUGGAAAGAUAGAGGUUGGCGAAUCACACUGAGUCAUUUAAUGCACCAGAAAAUUAAUGUUCUGUUCUUAGAGCAUUCAGAUAGAGGGUUUCAGAAAGUCAUAUAAAUUGUGGACGUGUCUAUCUGGGAUGGUUACAAAAUAUUUCAUGAAAAUGCUUCUUGAUUUUUGUGAGUUUGGUUUAACCAAUUUUAAUUAUUUUGAGGAUAGGAUUUCCUGAAACUGAGAGUGAGAAAUUCCAUUCCUUUAGUCACUGAUUAAAUGAUGCUCUCUAUGACGUGUUCUCGCUGAGUCACCCAGCCAUUUAUAUUCCACAUUCCUAUUCCAUUCAUUCACUUUUCCUCCUCCCUCGAUGACUAUUUUACUGUUAUAUUUGUUUUAGGCAGCCUUUUUGCUGCUGUGACCAAAAGACCUGACAAAAACAAUUAGAGGAGGAAAAGACUUAUUUGGGGGUUCACAGUUUCAGAGGUCUCAGUCCAAAGAUAGCUGGCUCCAUUCCUCAGGGCUAGAGGUAAGGCAGAACAUCAUGGCAGAAGAGUGUGGUGGAGGAGAGUAGCUCAGGAUAUUAUUAGGAAGGAGAGAGAGAGAGAGAGAGACACUCCACUCACCAGAUAUAAAAUAUAUACUCCAAAGGCACUCCCCCAAUGACCCACCUCCUCCAUCCACACUCCAUCAGCCUUCACUUAUAACCCAGUUAAUCCCUAUGAGGGGAUUAAUUCACUGAUUGGGUUAAGGCUCUCAUAACCCCAUCAGUUCACCUCUAAGCCUUCUUGCAUUGUCUCACACAUGAACUUUUGGGGGUCACCUCACAUUCAAGCCAUAACAAUAUUCAUCUUCAAACACCAGUCCCUUUUCUCACAACUCCACUCUCUGUUGAUGUCCUUGCUCUCUGUUCUGAGAUUCUGAGAAAACAGAAGCCAUCCAAAGAGAGCUUUCAGACCCCACUACAACACCUACUCUGUGGAGUAGAUCUGCUUUGAUAUUUUUCUUAUUCUAGCCUCUUGGCAUAGGUGAACUCUCUGUGAUUUCCUUUAAAGCUGAUUCCUCUACCUGAGUGUUAUAUUCCUUUCAUUUUUCCCCACAGGAAUUUAUCACUCCUGUUUAUGGCUCUCUACCAGAUCUUUCUAAAUCAGUAUAUGAGCAUCUAGUUACUUAAAAAUGUAUAUAUGUGUGUGUGUAAAUAUACAUAUACAUAUGUGUAUAUAUAUAUACAUAUGUAUAUAUAUAUAUUUUUAAGUAAAUAUACACACAUACACAUACAAACACACACAGCUUGACCCAAACCUACUUUAGUAAGACUACUUUCUUCCCUACCAUACCUCUGUAACUGCUCUUUUUAAAAGAUCACUGGUAACCUCCACAUUGCUAAAAAACAGGCAAUCCUCAGUCCUCAUCUGACUAAAUGAUGAGCAAUGGUCAGCACAGCUGGCCACUCAUUCUUCCUCCAGGAAUUUCUUCCCUUGGCCUCUCCUCCACCUUGACUGGCUGGUUUCCUCCUGUCUUCUGGGUUCACCUUCUCAUCUCCUUUCCUGGUUCCUUUUCUUGUGCCUGAUCUUUGGGUGUUAGGGUCCUCAGUGUGCGAUUCCUUGCCACCUGCUCUUCUCAACCUACACUCUGUCCUCUGGUGAUCUCAUCCUUUCUCAUGACUUCAAAUAACAUCUCUAUACCCCACAACCCCAAGGCAAAUAUUUCCAUACUAGAUUUUUCUCCUGAGCAUCAGUUUGGCAUAUCUGCCUUCUUCCACUUAGAUAUCAAAAAGGUCCAAAACCCAAUUCUGCAUCUUCCUCCUGAAUCCACCUCUAUGUGAUGUGGCUCUCCAUUAUUUUCUGUCUUGGUUUCCUAAUCUUCUCUGUUUGCCUCCAACGGCCUUGGUCACCUUGCUUCUCUGGAGCACCGUGGCCUUGGGGCUUUGAACGAGUGUUUCUGACUGUGCGGACAUCUCCCUAUGCAUCUUCUCAGACAUCUGGAGUAACAUAAGUUCUUUGGUCCUCUCCCCACAUGUCAUUUAUUCCCAUUUAAUAUCACAAACCUCCACUCCUUUUUUUUGGAUUUUCAGAUUCUCCCUACAUCAUUUUAUUAACCCAAAGUACUUAAUUGCUUCAAAAUACUGUAUAUAUUACCUAUUAGUAGGUUUAUUGUUUCCUUUAUCUUUAUUCCUAGCACAGAAGCUCCAUGGGUGGUGGGGGGUUUUGUUCAUCCAUGUCUGUCCUGCAUCUAGAAUAUUGUUGGGUGUCAAUCAGUCCAUAUUUGUAGAAAUGAUUUAUUGCCGGGGGAUAAAAGAGGGCCGCAUAUAUUAAUGGAAAAUUCUUUUUCUUUCUUAGAUGCAAAACAGUUUUGGAAUGAACAUCGCCAGUGCUACAAUUGCCUUCGUUGGGAUCGUUUUUCUCUUAAUACAUCUAGUACUAAAUAACCAGGCCUUCAGGAGUUGUCCGUCUUCCCGGUCUCCAGAUUUAUGCAAUUACCUGGGUUCCUCAUCAAAUGUAGGCAAUUAAAACUAUGUCUAAUCAUAGAAAAUAAUUUAAACAUUUCAAAAUGUACAGAAAACAAUAUGUCAUAUGUUAUGCUACCUGGAUUUAAAUUUGUCUUUGCUGCCUAUUAGUGCUGUAAUGAAGGGAAAACUAAAUAAGGUUGGUAUUUUAAUUUUCUCACUCUUAAAAUGAGGAAAAUAAUAGUAACCAUAGGGUUAGUGUAAGAAUGAAAUGAUACUUGAAAAGCAAUGAAGGCAAUACUUAGCACAUCAUGUUAUAUUCUUAUUGACAUUACAAUUAAUUCUAUUAUGCUAUUUUUUUUUAAAAAAACUUUAUCUCAUGUAUCUUUGCUUAAUAAAGCAAACUUGAGAGACAUACAACUUUCUCUGAAGUCUGAAAAGUUUUGAUUGACUUCACUUCUGAGUUUCCAAGUUAUGAUCUUUUGAAAAAGAAGCUCUUUAAUAGGCUGUCACAUGAUUUUUUGGUCUGUGUUUUAGGUAUUAUACCUCUUUGAAGUCAACUUAGAAAUUAAUAUUGUCCUUCAAGUGUGUUGAGUGCAGCCCAGUGAUUGCCAAAUUAUUAUUUAUCCAUCCCUGAUCCUCCUGUUUUCUGGCAUCAUCAUGGAAAUCUGAGUCUGCCUUUUCUUUAUUAAAUUUUUAAUUAUCUAAGUUUAUAUUUACCUGAGUUUGACUUUUUUUGUGUGGAUUUAGUGGCAUUUUCCCUCCAGAAAAGUUUGUAAUUGUAUUUCUUCUAAGUGCCUCAGUGAUAUAGAAAGAUCACUAGUAAACCAACAGUGUUUACUUUGUGUUUAUACCAGCUUUUUGCUUUAGUUUCUAAGGAUAACGUAAAUGCCCAAACAGCUAUGAGGUGCUAUUGAUAAAACAGAGAAGGGAUCACUUUUCUCCAUUUUCUUAAAUUACCUACUCAUUUCCUUAGUUUAGUUCUUUUCUAACUGAGCAAUGUUAGCAAUAGUGUUAGAAUUUUGCCUCUGUGAUCCCUCUCCCAUGACUAGUUCACUUGAAUUUAUGUACAAAUCGUACACCUUUCUCUCUCCAGGGAAAAUGUUCCCUUGCUGCUGAAUUAAGAGUGCAGCCCUUCUACAGAGUUUGUGUCUUAAAUCUAAUUUGGGAUUAAUUUUGUUGCAUUUUGUGGGAGGGAGACUCUGUGGUCUGGUUUCCUGCUGACAGAUUUUUCCUGAGGAUGUUUCCAUUGUGUUUGAUGUGAGAUACCAUCUCCCCUAGGGCUUGGUGUCUCUAAUGCUCAUCUUCACUUUGCUGGAAUUGUGCAUAACUAUCUCCCUCUCAGCCAUGUGGUGCAAAGGAAACUGCUGUGAUUCAAGAGAGGUGGGUUUGUUUAAAUGAGGAAUAAAUUGCCUGGUCUGCAGAUUGCUAUCUGGGGUUGAAGUUAUUUCUGGAAGAAUUGGAAAGAAACUUUGAUGUGGCAAUGUUUCUUGGGGUUCCUGGAGUUAGACAUUGCAUCAAUGUUAGAGAUGGAAUGAAAUACAGAAAAGAACUCAAAUGUGAAAAUGCAAAAGGAAACUACGUAUUUAAUACAUGAGAGGAUGCUUUUUUAUGCACCUGGAAUUAAUUUUAAUUAUUUCAUUUUAACUUGUGACUUUCUAGCUAUAUGAUUUUUGUAGGAAAAAAUCACAUAUUUUCCCUAGAUUUUAGGUAUCCUGACUUUAAAAUAAAAAUAUAUAUAUAUUUUUUCAUUUUCUUCUGAUGUUUGUUCUGAAGACUGUGCACAUCACCUUUAUUCAAGUAGUAAUAAGUUGGAUGAAUAUUAUUAGUGAUGGUUUAAUGGUAACAGGAAGAGAUGGGAGGAGGAGAUGGUGAUCCUAUUCUUAGAGACAAAUGUUUUGUUUUGCAGGAAAUUUCUUCACUUCCCAGUUCUAUGGAAUCAGGAAUACCUCCUAAUGAAGGUAAUUCGGAGAGCAUCAAAACUUAACCUCAAAUCUCCAAGGAAUCAGAGCUUCAUUCAGGAACUCAGGAAAACAUGAGCUGAUGAAACUCAAUCCUUCUCUCAUGGCACCAAUCAUGGAAACUUGGACUUAGGCUUUUCUGUCCUAAUCAUAAAUGCCUUUAGUGUGUUCUGGGUAUGGAUGAAUCAAUGUAUUUCUUUAUGAAUUCUUGGAUUUGUAACUUCUACUAUCACUACUCCAAAGUCAUUCCUUAAAAAUUAUUUCUCUUUCUUCUUCCUAUUUCAUCGUUUUAUGAGAUUUAAGGAAAGGAGCUAUUAUAAGCACUAUUUCAUGUUUUCUUCCUAAAAUCUCAUUUCAGACAACCUAGUAAGAAGGAAGAUGAGUCAGAUUUAUUUUUGCAGCACAGAAAUAUUCUUCUUGACUUUAGCCAACAGCAGCAUUACAAAAAUUGUCAAAUAAAAAAUGACCAUCACCACAUAUGUGAACUAUGACUUUGUUUUUCAUAAAAUAUGUGAAUUUAAAUUAUGAGUAGAAAUCGUAGCUAUUAGGAGGCCAUGAGAUAAGAUAGCCUAAGAAUUUAGCUGAAGGCCACACAGGAGAAAUUCAGAAAACGGAAGUCAGUUUAACCACACCUGAAAUUGAAUUUACACUUCUGACUCAACAAGACAUGAAUUUUGUUUUUAUUGUACAAAUGAUGCUUGUAGCAAAUAAUUUCUCUCCUGGCUUGGCUUUGCUUCAUUCACUUCUAUUGCUUUUAAAAAUAUUCCCAGUAAGGGCUUUCUCCAAAAAGAAUCUAAUGGAAAAUCCUAAUGAACGGUCUCCACUCAAUUCUUAUGGUACAUGAACAAUUUGAGAAGAUGUUGAAGUUUGUAACUUGUAAGACACUGAUAUUUAUGGACUUUGUCCUAUCUUCUUGUCUCAGAGUUUACCAGCAAGCUGGGAAAUCCAAGAAAUGAUGGUUGAUUUAUUGAUCCAUCCAUUCAAUGAAUAAUGAGUUUCACAUAUUUGGCAUUGUGUUGCAAAUUUGUAGAUUAAAUUAUAAGUUGUUAUUUUGAAUCGUUUUUGUCCCAUUUUUCAUUGAAGUUAUUUCGUUCAUCAUGUCAAACACUUCAAAUGAAGCCCAACCAAAUAGAGUAAUAUCCUGUGUAAGUUUGAUACUGAUGCAAGAAGAAUUGAAUUAUCUAAAAAAUAUUUGUAAUCAAAUAUCAUACUAUUUUUUUUAAUUAUCCAAUCUAUAUUAUCAUGCUUCUUUAUUUGUAGUAG